UGCUAUACAUGCAGUCGAACGCUUUGAUUUUCACCGGAGCUUGCUCCACCGAAAAUCAGAGAGUGGCGGACGGGUGAGUAACACGUGGGCAACCUGCCCAACAGAGGGGGAUAACACUUGGAAACAGGUGCUAAUACCGCAUAAUUUGUUUUCCCGCAUGGGAGAAUAAUAAAAGACGCUUUCGGGUGUCACUGUUGGAUGGGCCCGCGCUGCAUUAGUUAGUUGGUGGGGUAAUGGCCUACCAAGACCGUGAUGCAUAGCCGACCUGAGAGGGUGAUCGGCCACACUGGGACUGAGACACGGCCCAGACUCCUACGGGAGGCAGCAGUAGGGAAUCUUCGGCAAUGGACGAAAGUCUGACCGAGCAACGCCGCGUGAGUGAAGAAGGUUUUCGGAUCGUAAAACUCUGUUGUUAGAGAAGAACAAGUGGGAGAGUAACUGCUCCCGCCUUGACGGUAUCUAACCAGAAAGCCACGGCUAACUACGUGCCAGCAGCCGCGGUAAUACGUAGGUGGCAAGCGUUGUCCGGAUUUAUUGGGCGUAAAGCGAGCGCAGGCGGUCUUUUAAGUCUGAUGUGAAAGCCCUCGGCUCAACCGAGGAAGGUCAUUGGAAACUGGAGGACUUGAGUGCAGAAGAGGAGAGUGGAAUUCCAUGUGUAGCGGUGAAAUGCGUAGAUAUAUGGAGGAACACCAGUGGCGAAGGCGACUCUCUGGUCUGUAACUGACGWUGAGGCUCRAAAGCGUGG
rnacentral:rRNA from 1 species